AGAAAACUGGGUAGUCCAAGCGAUUUGAAAGUAGUAAAAUAAUAAUUUUAGCUGGGAUUGCAAAAUAAGCAUCAGACGGAAAGCAUUAAGCCAGAGAAUAUUUGUACCUUCAUUGAGAAGAAUUAAGACUCACAGCUGAAGCUUAACAGAACAAUAAAAUGGUUAUCUUAAAUCGCAAGAUACUCGGCAAUAUAACAAAAAGCCGUCUUGAGCAGACUUUAGUCGUGCUAAGCCAAACCUGCCAGCUCGUGUAUACCCUGUGAUCUCUGCGCACCGCCACCUGCUCAGGGCUCAUCAUUUUAAUGAGCUUAUUUCAUUAUAUUUAACGCGCUGGCUGCUAUCAUUUUGCAGGUCUCGUCGUUGGGGGCACAGGACUUAUUAUACAAAUUGCAACGCCAUUUUGUAACUUUUAUUAUUUUUCGUUGUGUGUGUGUGUGUGUGUUUUAUAUUUUGUGUGUUUUGUUAUUGUUUGCCUCUCAUCUUAUUUCGCUGUCAUUUACAAUUAA